rnacentral:rRNA from 1 species
AGAGUUUGAUCCUGGCUCAGAUUGAACGCUGGCGGCAUGCCUUACACAUGCAAGUCGAACGGCAGCACGGGAGCAAUCCUGGUGGCGAGUGGCGAACGGGUGAGUAAUAUAUCGGAACGUGCCCAGUCGUGGGGGAUAACGCAGCGAAAGCUGUGCUAAUACCGCAUACGAUCUCUGGAUGAAAGCGGGGGACCGCAAGGCCUCGCGCGAUUGGAGCGGCCGAUAUCAGAUUAGCUAGUUGGUGGGGUAAAAGCCCACCAAGGCGACGAUCUGUAGCUGGUCUGAGAGGACGACCAGCCACACUGGAACUGAGACACGGUCCAGACUCCUACGGGAGGCAGCAGUGGGGAAUUUUGGACAAUGGGCGCAAGCCUGAUCCAGCAAUGCCGCGUGCAGGAUGAAGGCCUUCGGGUUGUAAACUGCUUUUGUACGGAACGAAACGGCUUCUUUUAAUACAAGAGGCUAAUGACGGUACCGUAAGAAUAAGCACCGGCUAACUACGUGCCAGCAGCCGCGGUAAUACGUAGGGUGCGAGCGUUAAUCGGAAUUACUGGGCGUAAAGCGUGCGCAGGCGGUUAUAUAAGACAGAUGUGAAAUCCCCGGGCUCAACCUGGGACCUGCAUUUGUGACUGUAUAGCUAGAGUACGGUAGAGGGGGAUGGAAUUCCGCGUGUAGCAGUGAAAUGCGUAGAUAUGCGGAGGAACACCGAUGGCGAAGGCAAUCCCCUGGACCUGUACUGACGCUCAUGCACGAAAGCGUGGGGAGCAAACAGGAUUAGAUACCCUGGUAGUCCACGCCCUAAACGAUGUCAACUGGUUGUUGGGUCUUCACUGACUCAGUAACGAAGCUAACGCGUGAAGUUGACCGCCUGGGGAGUACGGCCGCAAGGUUG